rnacentral:lncRNA from 1 species
UUUCAUUCAUCUCUCUCGUUCUUUACUUUCUAUUUCAAACACGUUAUCAGCACGAAGAUUCUACCGAGAGCAGUAAAACUCGUCGGAAGAUUGUUGUGCGGCGAACCAAGUGGUAGACACACAUGCAUCCGUUCUAAGCACAAAUCGAUCAAAGCAUUUUCUUCCUUUGGGUUUUGUCCUCUUGUGUUUAAUCAAUGAUCUAAGAAUUACUCAAUUGGAUUAAACACAUGUACAGGAGCAAUCAUGGACAUGCGCCGGCAUGCCUGCAUCUCUACAAGGAAAUCGGGUCAGAAACGGUAAUCUAUUGUCUUCUUGUGAUUAAGAAAGAAGAAGAAUCUGAUCCAUUGUGCUUUAUGCGAGAAUCGCUUCAUUGAAUUCCCCACGAAGAGGCCGUCUGCAAGCAUGGCUGCAUGACGCACAGCGUCCACUUCCUUGAAACUGGUGGCGACGGCCAGUGUGGCAACUGACGCACAUGCAUGAAUCAAGGUGGCUGUCUUUUAUAAUUAUUAUAAGAGAUCUAAUCAUGUAUCUUCUAUUCAUCUU